UCCGGUUUAACACCGGCAGUCUCCCUAGAGUCCCCGACUUAACGCUGGUAACUAAGGACAAGGGUUGCGCUCGUUAUCGGACUUAACCGGACAUCUUACGACACGAGCUGACGACAGCCAUGCAGCACCUAUCACCGUGUCCCCGAAGGGAACGCUACAUCUCUGCAGUUGUCACGGGAUGUUAAGGGUAGGUAAGGUUCUGCGCGUUGCUUCGAAUUAAACCACAUACUCCACCGCUUGUGCGGGCCCCCGUCAAUUCCUUUGAGUUUUAGCCUUGCGACCGUACUCCCCAGGCGGGAUACUUAAUGCGUUAGCUUUGGUACUCAGGAGGUUAAUUUCCCGAACACCUAGUAUCCAUAGUUUACGGCGUGGACUAC
rnacentral:misc_RNA from 1 species